rnacentral:rRNA from 1 species
UGGGGAAUUUUGGACAAUGGGGGCAACCCUGAUCCAGCCAUGCCGCGUGCGGGAAGAAGGCCUUCGGGUUGUAAACCGCUUUUGGUCGGGAAGAAAGGGCGCCGGAUAAUACCUGGCGCUGUUGACGGUACCGGCAGAAUAAGCACCGGCUAACUACGUGCCAGCAGCCGCGGUAAUACGUAGGGUGCGAGCGUUAAUCGGAAUUACUGGGCGUAAAGCGUGCGCAGGCGGUGAGUUAAGUCUGAUGUGAAAGCCCCGGGCUCAACCUGGGAAUGGCAUUGGAAACUGGCUCGCUGGAGUAUGGCAGAGGGGGGUGGAAUUCCGCGUGUAGCAGUGAAAUGCGUAGAGAUGCGGAGGAACACCGAUGGCGAAGGCAGCCCCCUGGGCCAAUACUGACGCUCAGGCACGAAAGCGUGGGGAGCAAACAGGAUUAGAUACCCGCGUAGUCC